CACUCUUUAUCCUUCUCUCUCUCCUUUUUUUAAUUUUAUUGUGCCACUUUCUUUCUCCCUCCCUCCCUCUCUGUCUUUCUCCCUCCCUCCCUCUCUGUCUUUCUCCCUGUCUCAUAGCUCACAGAGUGGUUCUCGCAGCCGGAGGGGACUACUUCCGGGCCCUCUUCUGCGGAGGGUUACGUGAGUGCAUGCCAGGAUGUGGUGUGCCUCCGCGGUGUGUCCUCCAGCGUGCUGCGCCCCCUCUUGACCUUCCUCUACUCCGGCAGGCUGGAGCUGGGCUGGCCUUGCGUGUAGGAGCUGGCUGAGGCGAGCCCAACCGCAGCCUCUGGGUUGCCCGGCGGUUUUUGACUGGACCGGGUCUUUUCAGAACCGUGCAGUGGUGGCCACUAGCCCAGCUUCCCGAUCCACCCCGGUUCCGCCAAUGCGUGUGUGUUCUCCAGAACAAGCUCUACAUCAGCGGGGGCCGCAAGUACUACGGGGCACUGGACAUUCUCAAGUACUACGGGGCACUGGACAUUCUCAAGUCAGUCAUGAGGUUUGAUCCUGUGCAGUGCAGCUGGGAGCAGUUGCCAGAUAUGGCCGUUCCCAGAGAUUACUUUGCCGCUGUUUGUCUGGAUGGGAAGGUGUUUGCACUGGGUGGUAGCCAUGACGAAACACAGGACCUGGACACUGUGGAGUAUACUUCACACCUGAGGACAACACCUGGAGGUAGCUGAAUGUCAUUUGUAUCCUCUUUGUUUAUGUUUUCUUUCUUUCGAUGGCCUGAAUGAAUGAUGGUUGUUUACAAAAUCCCAUUUUUUGUUAAUUAAACCAUUUUCACAGCAUAUCAAUGGCAAGAGCCAGAUAAACAAAAAUAACAGAAUAACAAAGAAAACAAAGUAAUGAAUAAAAUAAUGAUAGGAUGAAACUAACACGAUGAUAAGAUAAGCAAGAAGAACAACACACACACACACACACACACACGCGAUAACCAAGUGCCAGCUGAGAUAUGAAAUGCCCUCAUGACACGGCGUGGGUGCACCGCUACGACCCCCGGGAAGGACGCUGGGAUAAGUUGGGGGCCAUGCCACGACCUUACACUGACCUUUGUGCCUGCAUGCUGCAGCUGCCACAGGGUGUACAUGGGUAGUAGAACUAAAAACAGUGUGUUUAUGUGUGUGUGUGUGUGUGUGUGUGUUUGUGUGUGAGUGUGUGUGGGUGGUCGACUGUCGUCGUGUUGUGCUACAUUUUCCUGCUCCUUCUGAUAGAAUAUGUUAUCGUCCUGCUACUGUGAUUGGAAAUAAAGUGCAAAAAGAUAAAGAUCUGUCCAGUAUCUGACUAGAUGAGAUCAUUGUGAAUUAUUCCAUGCAUUUGAUAUGUAUAACCUUUGAUUUGUUAUCCACAAAAUGUAAACAACGUUUCAGCUUUUCUAAAGAUUCACUCUCCCUCUACACUGCACCCAUCAUAAUGUAACGGUAGAAAAGUGCCGUUAGGUACUGUAGACUGUGGAAGUGUUUCAAUAAGGAUUUGGAUUGUCGUAGCUGUUGUACUCUUUCAUUAAUUCAAACAUAUGUAACGGUAGACAAGUGCCGUUAGCCACGCGAUAUAGUUUUGCCUACUGUUUUGGGGAGGUAACCUAGCAACGGGGGUCGGAGAGUGAAAAACUGAAGAG